UUCUGUUUGUUUGCUUUUUUUUUUGUUGUUGAAUGAAUGAAUUAAUGAAGGAAUACGGGCGCGGCACCGGCGCAGACUGCCGACGACACGUCCAGAAGCUCAACAGCCUGAGAGGAGGCAUCCUGGCGGAGCAGGACCACAAAGCCUGGGAAGACAGUGUCGGACGUGACGACAUCCAAGCGGAACCAGCGCUCUGUAAUGAAUCCCAAGUGGGUGAGGUUGCCAGCGGGACUAGCCGCUGGGACAAAUAUCUAGAGAAGGAAGAUGGGCGUCCGCCAAAAGAGGAUGACGCGGACGAGGAAGACUGUUACACCGAGAGCAGGCGGUUCAGCAACCGGAGGAACGGCAGAAAGAGAGAGAGAAACAGCCGCAAACAAAGAGCCUUUGGUGAGGACAAGGAUGUGAGUGUUCGUCAAUGGAAAACUGGGAGGCCGGCAUCAGAGGUACCACAUUUACACACGUGUACCCCCUUUUUUUUUUUUUUUUUUUUUUUUUUUGGCUGGACGUGUGUAAUUGAAGCCGUCGUUACGAAAGGCGUGUUGCCACAAUCUGACCCAGAUCUUUUAUCACUUUGUUCCACUGCACAGGCACAUUUUUCAUCAAAUGGCCAGUCAGUAGACCCGCCAUCGUUCUCCGGCUCAGGAAACGUCGCCGCAGCCGCCUUCCUCGAGCACAGACGUGGUGUGGCGUCAGAAGCAGACUGUGGCCGACCCUCCCGUCCGGAUGCUCUCGGACCUCGACCGCCGUUACCCGCCGGUAGAAACCAGGAACCCUGGAAUUACCAGAGUCUGUCCAAGAGCUCCAAGUGGGCCAAGUUCCUGGCCACGCCUUCUGGUGGCGAAGAGGUGGAAGACGACGCCCGGAUGGAUUUGCCUGGGCGUGUGUGCGUUACUUCGGGAGCUCCCAACACAGAGGGCCCUGAAGGCCACGCCCACAGCGAGACAGGUGAUGGCGGUGGGCUGUCUGGUAUAGUUCCUGUUUUGGGGAGCUGCAGCGGUGUUUUGGGGAGGCUCGUGUCCACCGCCGCCCUGUGUGAAUUUGACGGCCAGGAGCAUGAAGCGCAGCGUCCUGCCGUGACCUCCCUGACACCAGCAGUCUGUCAGCAGCCUCCUCCCAUCAAACGACCACGCCCCUCCUUCACGUCCAACGCGCUGUUUCAAACUGAUGAGGACUUUGAUGAAAACAUUUAA
ensembl:lncRNA